GGGAACAACACACACUGGGGCCUGAAGGGUGGAGGAGGUACGGCGGGAGGGAGAGCAUCAGGAUAAAUAGCUAAUGCAUGCUGGGCUUAAUACCUAGGUGACAGGUUGAUAGAUGCAGCAAACCACCAUGGCACAUGUUUACCUAUGUAACAAAUCUGCACAGCCUGCACACGUAUCCAGGACCUCCAGAUACAGGGGAGUGAGGGAAACGGUUCAGAUGGAUGUAGGUGUGAGACAUGCUGGGAACAGCAGGGACGUCUGUAAGGAGGGAAAGCAGAGUCCGCAGGGCAGAAACAGAGAGGCUGAGCCAGGCUCAGAGGACUCCCAGCAGAGGCAGUCACGCAGGCCAGCAGGGGUGGCUCUGGAACCCCCGAGCAAGUUGUGGCAGCAAAGAAUUCGGGAUCUGAGGGGUUUCAGUUGUAGGUCUGAGGUCUGUACUGACAAGGGGCAGGAUGCCAGCUCAGCAGUAGUGGGGAGGUGAAGACCUCACAGGGGAUAGGGGAUAGGGAUGGGACAAAAGAGGGAGGUCUCUCAGAUACAAGACCCAUUUACAGAGUCUCGGCUCAUCCAAAGAAUAUGAGGGGAGGGGGCUUUGUGCUCACAGAUGAUUGGGUUAGGGGAAAGAUGAUUAAUCACAGGCUGUGGACGCAUUUUCGAGGCAGGAGCCAAGCCUUAUGGCAAGAUAACGAAGGGGACGGCAAGGGCUGCUCUGUGGGGGUGCACGGGCUGGGCCCGCAGCACACCACCUGUUCACUAGGUCUGGGCAGCAAUUAGACCUGCACCCAGCAGGGCCCACAAGGUCAGAACAGGGACUGUGAAGAUCAAACGGAAGCGCAGGAGGGUGUUCGAGCCUUCGGGCAGGGCUUGUGCUUCCCCCAAAAUCAGUGCAGGUUUGCCGGUGGCUUUCAACCAGAAAGCACUAAGGAACGCUGUGUUCGUCUGCUGGGCUGCAUGACAGAGUACCUCGGGCCGGGCAGCGCACCCAACAGACAGUUAUUUUUCCAGAGAUGGAGGCUGGAGGUCCCAGAACAAGGUGGCAGCAGGGGCGUGUCUGGUGAGGGCUCUUUCUGGCUUGCAGACAGCCUCCUUCUCCCAUUGCCAUCCCCGCAGCCUGCUGUGUGAAGUGGGCUUCUGGGCCCAGCAGCAGCAG
rnacentral:lncRNA from 10 species